rnacentral:rRNA from 1 species
UAGUCCACGCCGUAAACGAUGGACACUAGUUGUCGGGAGGCUUGACUUCUCGGUGACGUAGCUAACGUGUUAAGUGUCCCGCCUGGGGAGUACGUCCGCAAGGAUGAAACCCAAAGGAAUUGACGGGGGCCCGCACAAGCGGUGGAGCAUGUGGUUUAAUUCGAUGAUACGCGAGGAACCUUACCAGGGCUUAAAAUGCAGAAUGACAGGUUUAGAGAUAGACUUUUCUUCGGACAUUUUGCAAGGUGCUGCAUGGUUGUCGUCAGCUCGUGCCGUGAGGUGUCAGGUUAAGUCCUAUAACGAGCGCAACCCCUGCCGUCAGUUGCCAGCAAGUAAUGUUGGGGACUCUGACGGGACUGCCGGUGCAAACCGCGAGGAGGGUGGGGACGACGUCAAAUCGAUCACGGCCCUUACGUCCUGGGCUACACACGUGCUACAAUGGCCGGUACAGCGAGCAGCCACUUCGCAAGAAGGAGCGAAUCUAUAAAACCGGUCACAGUUCGAUCGGGGUCUGCAACG